AGAGUCAACAUGUGACGCCAUGGGAGUAGGACACCGGGAACUAUUCUCCGAGAUGGCAGUGGCUGGGAAGACGGCUCCAUGGGUUAAAGUGCUGCAGUUUCUGCAUCAGGGGACCACGUCCUGGUCAAAGAUGUUCAUUCCUGGAUGCCCCUGCUUUGGCCUCAGGAGCACUGAGAUUACAGCAGUACAUGCACACAGUGUGGUCAGCGUAGCUCCAGGACAUUCAGCUCGGGACACUUCUCACAGGAGACAGGCUGUUCCUCCACCCUGAGGCCCGCGUGGCCUCUACAACCGCUUAGAGGAUGGUGAGCACACCCAGUGAUCUCUGCAGCGGCGUCCCCGCCCGGCUCCCCCCAGCUCUGCGUGAGGCCUCGGCUGACACUACCACAAAGGACAAGCUGAGUUGGGAGGACAGCAGAGCGCCCUCUACAGACAUCCAUUCCACUUGUAGAAACCCUGUUCUUUGUCGGCUCUGAAGCCAACGACAGAUUCUGGGUAUAAAAAGAAUGAUCCAUUAAAAAAUAUUAAUAAUAAAAACCAUUUAGGCCA